AUGGACCCGAAAGACUACACACUGAUUGUGAAUUACAAACUUAAAAAUGAAUACCCGGACAAUUUAUCUAAGAAAGAUAAAUUUAUUCUUCGGAGAAAAGCGUCUCUGUACGUCGUUGAAGCAGGAGAGGCGCGUCUCAGAGAACAGCAUAAACUGAAGUCUGAGCGCACGGUCUCACCGAUGUGGAUGGAGGGGAAAAACAAGAGCAGGACUGUCAUCAGCUACGGGACCAGCUCUAAGAUGGUUGACCCAGAUGUUCCUACAUGGCAGCUUUUACACACAGUUCAACAGAGAAAUGUUACAACUGCAGCUGCCACUCGUCCGUCUCAAACAGAUGACUCUUUGACCAAGAGCAGUGGAAUCAUCCCUGGUGCAAUAGCGGCCACAGUGUUCAUUGCCUUUUUACUUGCUCUCUACGCUGUCCUCUGGAAGUGCAUGGUGUCACCACCACAACGAAAGCACAGCAAGGUGAGGGUAAGAGUACAUCAGAGGACUUCUGUAUGAGGACAGGCAUCUGUUCAGUGGGCCAUUUUGGAUCUUAAAGGCGCGGCCUAAAAUCUGAGAGCAGACUUUGCUCCCAUGCAGGCAGCUGAAGAUCCUCCUAAUAGAUCCAAAGAUCAAACCACAAAAAAACAAAAACUGACUCAACUGAGUGGAUGUGUCACCUCUUUCCGUCUGUUUGCUGCUUGACCCAAAGCUCCAUGUUGAUUUAAAACACUUUUUUGGCAGGUCAGAGUGUGCUGCUUUUUUCAGUUUUUUCCUGUGAUCUCUGCACUACUGAGGGAUGAGGCGGCUCAGGUCACAGCUCAGUCCAGUGACCAAAGAGCUGUGCGUGCGUGAGAGAGAUCCAUUUUUCUUAAAGAGUUGUGGGGAAAAUCCCUAAAGCUGCCAGGAGUUUCAGGACAAUCAACCAAUCACCUC
rnacentral:lncRNA from 15 species